AUUGUUUAGGGAUAGAUCGGUUCUGAUAGGGGUCAGCUAUCAGACUUAAGGGGGAAAGUCCAGUGGAAAUCUGGCGCUGUCCCGCAACUGUAAUGAGACGCUUGCACGUUCUCAGAGUCAGAAUGCCCGCCGAUCAUCUCAGUCCACC
rfam:Limnoraphis robusta CS-951 contig062, whole genome shotgun sequence.